GACGAACGCUGGCGGCGUGCUUAACACAUGCAAGUCGAACGCAGUGGCGAACGGGUGAGUAAUACGUGGGUAACCUGCCCUCCUUUUUGGGAUAAGCCUUGGAAACGGGGUCUAAUACCGACUCACGGGGGAUGGGCUCGCGGCCUCUCGGCUUGUAGGUGGGGUGAUGGCCUACCAAGGCGGUGCCGGGUAGCCGGCCUGAGAGGGGGACCGGCAAUGAGAGGAGGGAGAGACGGCUCAGGGUGCUACGGGAGGGGGAUGUGGGGGAUAUGGCACAAGGGGCGAAAGCCUGAGGCAGGGACGCCGCGUGGGGGAUGAAGGCUUUCGGGUGGUAAACCUCUGUAGCUAUCGAACGGGUAGGUGGAGAAGAAGCGCCGGCUAACUACGUGCCAGCAGCCGCGGUAAUUC
rnacentral:rRNA from 1 species